rnacentral:rRNA from 1 species
AUUGAACGCUGGCGGCAGGCCUAACACAUGCAAGUCGAACGAAUGGCGGACGGGUGAGUAAUGUCUGGGAAACUGCCUGAUGGAGGGGGAUAACUACUGGAAACGGUAGCUAAUACCGCAUACCAUCGGAUGUGCCCAUAUGGGAUUAGCUAGUAGGUGGGGUAAAGGCUAACCUAGGCGACGAUCCCUAGCUGGUCUGAGAGGAUGACCAGCCAAACUGUAACUGAGAAACGGUCCAGACGCCUACGGGAGGCAGCAGUGGGGAAUAGUGCACAAUGGGCGCAAGCCUGAGGCAGCCAUGCCGCGUGUAUGAAGAAGGCCUUCGGGUUGUAAAGUACUUUCAGCGGGGAGGCGUUACCCGCAGAAGAAGCACCGGCUAACUCCGUGCCAGCAGCCGCGGUAAUUC